rnacentral:rRNA from 1 species
AGACGGAGGGUGCAAGCGUUAAUCGGAAUUACUGGGCGUAAAGCGCUCGUAGGCGGCCUGUUAAGUCGGCUGUGAAAGCCCCGGGCUCAACCUGGGAACUGCAUUCGAAACUGGCAGGCUAGAGUAUAGUAGAGGCAAGUGGAAUUCCGGGUGUAGCGGUGAAAUGCGUAGAUAUCCGGAGGAACAUCAGUGGCGAAGGCGACUUGCUGGACUAAUACUGACGCUGUGGAGCGAAAGCGUGCGGAGCAAACGGGAUUAGAAACCCCAGUAGUCC